ACAUGAAGCUGUCCCUUCCAUCCCUUCAAUCUGUAUCUUUUAUGUUCAAAAACAGUAGCCAUUUACAGCUCUAUUACUUAUUUACAAAUUUUCCUUUUUGUUAGUUAUUAUUUAGAAACAUUUGCUUCAGUGGAUGGAGAGGAGAAUAACCUUUCAUGGUGUAUUCAAGUCAGCUCUGAUUGUGCAUCGGAUGGUGGCUUUGCAUGCUGUUAAUCAGAUUAACUCUUGUGCCAGACUGGAGUCAGCGGAUCAUCAGUAGUUAUGCCAAAAAGAAGUGAACAAUGCUCAAGAUUGAAACUGCCAGAUGAGAAAAAGAAUGAUACAGCACUCUAUACACCUGAAUCCAAGGCAAUUUUUAAAAUUUCAGUUCCACAGGACCUGUGGUCCAAGUACAGCAUGCUUUCAGUGUAUAGUAGUGUAUAAACUGUGAUUCUGUCCAUCAUUACAGAAGCUGUAAUGCCUGUAUAUGCAGCCAGGUUUAGCCCAAAUGCAUGAGGACAACAUGGCUUUCCCAGUCUAUAAAUUACUAGAAUUUCCUUGUCACUCAA